UGCCGUUCUAGCCCCAGGAUUUGGAGCCUGGCUCUGGGCAAGCUGCUAGUGCCUCACAUCCUGUUGGUUUUAGGUCUUCGGCAAGUUCUUCUCGGAGAGGCAGAGAAGAUUUUUCCUCUAGACGGAGGGCAGUGCUGGCCAUCCACGACCCCCUGCUGCGUGUCAGCCAGGCUGGGCUGCUCAUCGCUUACUCCCUCCUGUGGGAAACCCAGCAGCUGCUGGGGGACAAGCCAGUCGAUUGCCCAGUGUCAUCACCCUGCGUGCUGGCUGGGUUGGGUAACUCCUCUGGUCACCACCCUCUCCAGCCUGCCUUGGGCUUGGAGCGUGAGGAGGAGGGCGAGGGACAGCAGGCAACCCUGAACAUUCACCAUCCAUCGCUCCAUCACCUAGAGCAAGAGCUCAUUGAGGAGCUGUCUGAUAACUUGCCACCCGGCGGCGUCCUCGCUAACUCCGAUUGCUGUGGGCAACCUCAGCUGCCCUGGAGCCAGAACUGGAGACCCACCUCCUUCAAGCUGCCGUGCAUGCCAUCUUCACCCUGGGCACGGAGAACACCACCAUCUAAGUCCAGGUAGAUCAUGCUACAGUCAUGGAUCGAAGAGCCAGCUGUCAUCCUGCCACACAUCAUUUUUAAUUGCCUGCAGUGGGAUGUGAAUGAAAGAGGCCAGGAUAUGUGUUUGGGGUCUCACCAGUGCUUCCCAGAGACCCCUUGUGACGGGACGGACUGGCCCCGCACUGGGACUGAGAGAGUUAACCCUUCCCUGCUGACAGAGGAAACCACACCCCUAAGGCUCUGCUGGGCAUGCUCCAACCGGGAGUCAAGCAUAAAAGCCUGCAGAACUGAUUAAUCAGGGCUGGCAGCUUGGGAAGAAGGAUGCCCUGCAGAAGCUCCAGCCCAGGAGCAGUUGCAAGGAAGGAGGGAGCUGAGGAGCCAGGAAGCGGGCCCAGAGACUGGCAGCCGUGGGAAUCCCAGGGAGCAUCGGGUGCUGAGGACCCUGAAGCCACAAGAACUGGUAUGUUUGGAGGACUGGUAGGAAGUGACCCAGGGAAGGGAAAGGAGUGGUAUCUUCCACCACUCUGAGGGCAGCAUCUUGUGGUAGGAUUCCCCGCUGACUCAUGGCGGAUAAUUGGUCUUGAUAACACUAAGUUGAGGUCCACUGGGGAACUGGAUUGUGCACUUGAGGAUAUAAUUUGUCUAGGCCUUUCAGAAAUCUUAUUGAUAUGUCAUUAGAAAACUCAGAUUGAUUAUCCACAUUAGGCUGGAAUGCAGAAACAGCUGCUAGGUUUACUCUGGCAGAACAAAUGGCCAACGCUUGACCUUUCAGGUAUAGCAGAUAUUCUAGAAUGUGUGGGAUCAAGAAGUAGGUCAGCAAAAUCCCUGAAUGACAUGACCAGAUGGAAAAAUGUCUCCACUUAGAAAGGAAAGUAGCUCUCGUGGAUGGAUUUCUACAAUUUAGAAGGACAUCCUACACCUCUUUUGAACAAGACUGCUCUCUACCAUCUAACCAUGGAGCAUCCAUGUGGUUAAAUGAAGCACUUGGAGGUUCAGGUGAAGCAGCCAAUCAUGGCCUUGGGAAAUUAAGUCCAAAACCACUGGGAACAAAAUUGGAGAUUUCAUUGACAGAUUCAUUAAUGUGGAGAACCAGUGUUGGUGGGCCCACAUUAGACCUAUGAAUAGGACUCUGACACGGUCCUGCCUGAUCUUCAGCAAGACUUCAUGAAUGAGUGGGAUUGGCAGGAAAGCACAGAGGAGCCUUUCUGACAAGGGAAACAAGAACACAUCAGUCAGGGAAUCCUGGCUGCGACCUUGCAGGGAACAGAAUUGCUGACAUUUUCUGCUGGUUCUUGUUGCAAAUAGGUCUACUUGGGGAGAUUCCCACCAUUGGAAGAUGUCUGGUCACAUCUAGGUGAAGCGACCAUUUGUGCUUGUAAAUGAUCUGCCACGGGGGUCUGCAAAACCAUUCUGCAUCCCCAGAAGGUUAGAUGCUUCAAGAUCCACCAAACUGGCACUACAGAAUUCCGAAAGACAAGUCACCUCUUAGAAGAGUGGGGGAGAUUGGGCUCCACCUUGCCUGUUGAGCUGCUGCCAUUGCAGCCAGGGAAUGCCUGAAAGAUGUGGACUCAGAAUGACAUGUUGAUCAAGAUCUUGUAAGCCAGUGUUGCAUCAGACCUUGAACCAAGGGCCUGGAGGAUGAAUAUUGAAGAUUGUAUGAAGGAAAGAGAGGAUAGGAGCAAGUCUCAGUAGGAAUAGGAGAGGGAGAUGCGCCCGGACAUAAUGGGGCUUCUCUGGCAGCAAAAACAGAUGCUGCAGACUCUUGUAGACCUACAUGUUCAACAAUCCCAGCUCACCCCUUUGGAGUCCAUGGAGAAUUCCAGUAUAGCACCUCCCUUCACUUUCCAAGACAACACUCCACUUGGCAUCAGGGUCCACAUCCCUAACCCUACCCCUCCACCCUUGGGGACAUUAAGGACAAUCACAGCUUCUCAUACACAAACCUACGAAAGCCAUGGUUGAUGUAUGUGUAGCUAAAAUAGACAUGAAUGUUCCUUCCCCUUCUUUAAGCUCUGUUAAUAUUCAAAGCUUAAAUGUAUGGAUUUGCUUUUAGCUUGCGCACAAAUUUUUUGAAGUGUUUUCGUUAGUCAAUUAAAUUCUUUUGUUUGGAAAAUAAUUCAUCUUUAUUAGUUCCCAACCUGUGCUGCAGAAUGCCUAGCGCUAGUGAAAGCACUUAUACAAUAACUACUGUGACACAACUCAUAGGAUCAGUGGCAAACAGUGUAAUAAUCAUAAAUGUACAGCAAGCACCACAAAAUUCCUAACAA